GGUGUCUCAGUGGUAGAGCGCUUGCCUUGCAUGCAUGAGGCUGUGGGUUCGAUCCCUCAGCACCA
rnacentral:tRNA from 1 species